GGUGCCAGCCGCCGCGGUAAUACCAGCUCUCCGAGUGGUGUGGAUGUUUAUGGGCCUAAAGCAUCCGUAGCUGGCUAGGUAAGUCCCUUGUUAAAUCCACCGAAUUAAUCGUUGGAUCGCGGGGGAUACUGCUUGGCUAGGGGACGAGAGAGGCAGACGGUAUUUUCGGGGUAGGGGUGAAAUCCUAUAAUCCCCGGGGAAGACCACCAGUGGCGAAGGCUGUCUGCUAGAACGCGCCCGACGGUGAGGGAUGAAAGCUGGGGGAGCGAACCGGAUUAGAUACCCGGGUAGUCCCAGCUGUAAACGAUGCAGACUAGGUGUUUGGACGGCCACGUGCCGUUCUAGUGCCGCAGGGAAGCUGUUAAGUCUGCCGCCUGGGGAGUACGAUCGCAAGAUUGAAACUUAAAGGAAUUGGCGGGGGAGCACCACAAGGGGUGAAGCUUUGCGGUUUAAUUGGAGUCAACGCCGGAAAUCUCACCGGGAGCGACAGCAGUAUGAAAGCCAGAUUGAAGGUCUUGCUAGACGAGCUGAGUAGAGGUGCAUGG
rnacentral:rRNA from 1 species